UACGGAGGUGGCAAGCGUUGUCCGGAAUUAUUGGGCGUAAAGCGCGCGCAGGCGGUCCCUUAAGUCUGAUGUGAAAGCCCACGGCUCAACCGUGGAGGGUCAUUGGAAACUGGGGGACUUGAGUGCAGAAGAGGAAAGUGGAAUUCCAGGUGUAGCGGUGAAAUGCGUAGAGAUGUGGAGGAACACCAGUGGCAAAGGCGACUUUCUGGUCUGUAACUGACGCUGAGGCGCGAAAGCGUGGGGAGCAAACAGG
rnacentral:rRNA from 1 species